rnacentral:lncRNA from 1 species
UGAGCCUGGGAGGUUGAGGCUGUGGUGAGGACCAUGGAUAUUUGGCCAUUUCUUCAUAUUACUUACUUGUGCCUCAGGGCCUGUUCAGACCCAGUCCCAUACACAUCACCCCGUCUGAUGAUGGAGUGCUGCUGUGUACACCCAACUUUAUGGCUUGGUGGGUCAGAUAACACUUCAUGAUGUGCAGCUCAGGCUACAUGGUAAUUUGGUCACCCACAGUUAAGUGUUCAGCCUUGACUAAGGCUCAGUAGGAGGCCGAGAGCUUUCUCAACAAGACAGAAGUUAUCUGUGCAGGACUGCGGGCUUUACUUCAAAAUCUCAAGUGUUAAUUGGUCUGGAGCAACACACCAAAAUGAGAAUAUGUUGCCUCCAGAAUCCAAAGAGGCCCAGUAGGCAUCGUGCCUCUUUUUUGGUUGUAUGAGGGGCCAGAUGCAAGAAUUUAUCUUUCACUUUGCAAGGGAUGUUUGGAUGUUUCCCAUACCACUGUACCCCUAGAAAUAUCACUGACGUAGGGCUGGGCACGGUGGCUCAUGCCUGUAA